UACGAAGGAUGCAAGCGUUAUCCGGAUUUAUUGGGUUUAAAGGGUGCGUAGGCGGACUUAUAAGUCAGUGGUGAAAUCUCGUUGCUUAACAACGAACGUGCCAUUGAUACUGUAGGUCUUGAGUACAGAUGCCGUUGGCGGAAUGUGUCAUGUAGCGGUGAAAUGCAUAGAUAUGACACAGAACACCGAUUGCGAAGGCAGCUGACGAAACUGUAACUGACGCUGAGGCACGAAAGCGUGGGGAGCGAACGGG
rnacentral:rRNA from 1 species